rnacentral:rRNA from 1 species
UACGUAGGGUGCGAGCGUUUGUCCGGAAUUACUGGGCGUAAAGAGCUCGUAGGUGGUUUGUCGCGUUGUUCGUGAAAACUCACAGCUUAACUGUGGGCGUGCGGGCGAUACGGGCAGACUGGAGUACUGCAGGGGAGACUGGAAUUCCUGGUGUAGCGGUGAAAUGCGCAGAUAUCAGGAGGAACACCGGUGGCGAAGGCGGGGUCUCUGGGCAACUACUGACGCUGGAGGAGCGAAAAGCGUGGGGGAGCGAACAGG